AGACAAAAAGGAAAUGGUGUCUUCCUACUUGAACCGCCUUAAAAAGCUGAUGACGCCUGGUUAUUA
rnacentral:ncRNA from 2 species